rnacentral:rRNA from 1 species
CGCAUCUGUGCAUGCAGCAUAUCAAUAAGCGGAGGAAAAGAAACUAACAAGGAUUCCCUUAGUAACGGCGAGUGAAGCGGGAAGAGCUCAAAUUUGAAAUCUUCAAGGUUUUACCUUGACGAAUUGUAGUUUAAAGAAGUGUUUUCUGUUGAAGUUUUGGUAAAAGUUCUUUGGAAUAGGACAUCAUAGAGGGUGAGAAUCCCGUAUUUGACCAUUAUUUUCAGCUGUGUGAUACACUUUCAAAGAGUCGGAUUGUUUGGGAAUGCAGUCCAAAAUGGGUGGUAAAUUUCAUCUAAAGCUAAAUAUUGGCGAGAGACCGAUAGCGAACAAGUACCGUGAGGGAAAGAUGAAAAGAACUUUGAAAAGAGAGUUAAACAGUACGUGAAAUUGUCAAAAGGGAAGCGUUUGACACCAGUGUUGUUUUCUCGAAAAUCAAUUAAAAAGAGUUAGAUUUUGUUGUGUAUUGACCUUAACAGCUUGCAUUUCAAUUUUCUUGCUUUUUUUAAUGCACUUUUCGUUUAACAAGUCAACAUCAGUUUCUUUUGUUGUAAAAAGGUCAUUGGAAGGUGGCUUUCUUUUCGGAGAAAGUGUUAUAGCCUUUGACUCCUGCAAUCGGAGAGACUGAGGUCUGCAGCGUAGAUCCUUCGGGGUUAGAUACAUUUGUGCUAAGUUAUAGCUUUUUAUAGACAACUUGUUGACUAUGAUUAGUCUUGUAGCUUACUCGCUUAUGCUAUUUUACCUACGCUUAGGAUGUUGAACUCUAUCACACACAG